rnacentral:rRNA from 1 species
UACGUAGGGACCAAGCGUUGUCCGGAAUCACUGGGCGUAAAGCGCACGUAGGCGGAUUUUUAAGUCAGGGGUGAAAUCCCGAGGCUCAACCUCGGAACUGCCUUUGAUACUGGAGAUCUUGAGUCCGGAAGAGGUAAGUGGAACUGCGAGUGUAGAGGUGAAAUUCGUAGAUAUUCGCAAGAACACCAGUGGCGAAGGCGGCUUACUGGUCCGGUUCUGACGCUGAGGCGCGAAAGCGUGGGGAGCAAACAGGG